AAUACAAAGUAAGUCUUUUUUUGCAGUGUGACUCCAUUGAAUGUUCUUGUGUGAUAAAGAAAGUCUCUCUUUUUGUGUGUGGUGUGUGUGUGAUGUAGAUUAAAUAUGACCGGGCCAAAACGGACAUGGCAGCAGGUCAAAAUCAAAUACAAGAACAUUCUGCAGAAUGCAGUAAAAAGGAUUCCCAGAGACAAGGCACGGGUGGUGGGUCACCAAAAGCUGACCUCACCCCAGCAGAGGCCAGCUUUGGAGCUAAAUAAAGGCAGGCCUGUUGGAGGGGAUCCCUGCGGGAAAGAGACAAGCAUAGAUCCCUCCCAAGAUGCCACCCGCUUCAUACAAGUGUCUGGCAGCACUGUGUUACUGUUAAAGCCACCAGCAUGAGCACCAGACGAUGCUGAUCCAGUGAGUACUCCAUCAAAGACCUGGCAUGUCUUGUCUACUAGCUUCAAUAUGAAUCUGAUUAAAUGUGAUAGGGUCAAGGCCCCAUUUCAUCAGCACAUAACGGCAAUGAUGAUGAGGAGACCAUCUCUCUGGAUUCCAAAAGGCACAAGGACCCAGUGUCAUUGGUGCACUGGACUGCACACACAUAAGGAUAAAAGCCCCCUCAGGUGCUCAUGAGGCAGAUUUUGUAAAUAUGAAAUCUUUUUACAGCAUUAAUGGUCAUGUGAACAUAACUUUUUGAUCUUUUCCAUUGAACACUGGCAAAAUGGCCUGGCUCAGUCCAUGACUCCAGAAUUUUCGGACCUCUGAAAUCUAUCAGCGCUAGUAGUUAUAUGGGGCCACCUUUCGUCAAACUUUUAUGGCCCCCUCCCCCACCUCUUGACAGGUCGUGUUUUAUGACCCCUUGACAGGGGGCGGGACAAUCAAUCAAAAGCUGUACAAUCUGUCAACUUUAGACAGCGAGUGUUUAAUCGUUUUAUGACAUGUAGUUUAGUGUUUUGUUUUUCCUGUGUGUGUUUUAUGUCAAGCCUAUGCUGUCAUGUUUUAAUGACAGCUCGUGUUUUGACAUUUGCCGUCUCUAUCUAUCAAACCCUCCCUUUUCGACCCGUGUGCGUCUCAAUACUGCCUGUCACACUGUGGGGUGUAUGUUGUUGAAUCUAAAGUUUUGCAACAUCAAAAGUUUAUUUAAAGGC